GACGAACGCUGGCGGCGUGCCUAAUACAUGCAAGUUGAGCGAUGAAGAUUGGUGCUUGCACCAAUUUGAAGAGCAGCGAACGGGUGAGUAACGCGUGGGGAAUCUGCCUUUGAGCGGGGGACAACAUUUGGAAACGAAUGCUAAUACCGCAUAACAACUUUAAACAUAAGUUUUAAGGUUGAAAGAUGCAAUUGCAUCACUCAAAGAUGAUCCCGCGUUGUAUUAGCUAGUUGGUGAGGUAAAGGCUCACCAAGGCGAUGAUACAUAGCCGACCUGAGAGGGUGGUCAGCCGGACUGGGAGUGAGACACGGCCCAAAGUCCCUCGGGAGGCAGCAGUAGGGAUACGUCAGCAAGGGGCGAAAGUCUGAGCGAGCAACGCGGCGUGAGUGAAGAAGGAUUUCGGAUCGUAGAACUCUGUUGGUAGAGAAGAACGUUGGUGAGAGUGGAAAGCUCAUCAAGUGACGGUAACUACUCAGAAAGCGACGGCUAACUACGUG
rnacentral:rRNA from 1 species